rnacentral:rRNA from 1 species
GACGAACGCUGGCGGCGUGCUUAACACAUGCAAGUCGAACGGACAGGCCCUGCUUUUGUGGGGUGCUCGUUUGGCGAGCGGGUGUGUAACACGCGUGUAUCAUGCCCUUGUCUUUGGGAUAACUUCUGGAAACAGGGGAUAAUACCGCGUAGAAGCUCCUGCUGCAUGGUGGGGGUUGGAAAGUUUCGGCGGUUGGGGAUGUACUCGCGGGUUAUCAGCUUGUUGGUGGGGUAGUGGCUUACCAAGCCUUUGACGGGUAGCCUGCAUGAGAGGGUGAACGGCCUCAUUGGGACUGAGAGACGGACCAGACGCCUACGGGAGGCAGCAGUGGGGAAUAUUGCAGAAUGGGCCGGAGCCUGAGGCAGCAAUGCUGGGUGCGGGAUGACGGCUUAUUGGUUGUGAACCGCUUUCGCAUGUGAUGAAGAGUGAGUGACGGUAACGGGUAAAGAAGCACCGGCUAACUACGUG